rnacentral:lncRNA from 1 species
CCAGUACUGAUGUUGAUAAAGUCAAUGGGAUGCAAAGCAGCUCCAUCAUAGUUUUCACUAAUGUAACGCCCAAUGACAACAAGAGACUCUGAUGAGUCCUGUCCAAAGUAACAACACAUUGUUAUAAACCUAUUCCACUUUUUCAAUUACAAUUUAAAUGAAGAAUUCUGCAAUUAACAAAUUAGUUCCUCUGUGUGCAUGCUUGCCUUUGCAUCCCAUUCUGCUCGGAAUGCUGUAAGAUAUCUGUUAAAAUCGUGACUAUGAACAAUUUCUCGGCUUGGAUAAUCAAGGUUGCCAAAGAUUGAAUCCCAC